GCUGGGCAUGGUAGUGCAUGCCUAUAAUCCCAGUGACUUGGGAGGCUGAAGCAGAAGGAUCACAAGUUUAAAGCCAACCUCAGCAAUUUAGGGAGGCCCUAAACAAUAGUGAGACCCUCUC
rnacentral:sRNA from 1 species